rnacentral:pre_miRNA from 1 species
GAUAACUGCAUUUUUGUACUAUUUGUGUUCCAUGUUUGGUCGUUCUUCUUAUUUUAAAAAAAUAUGAUUAGUAUUUUUAUUAUUAUCAGAUGAUAAAACAUGAAUAAUACUUUAUAUAUAAUUAUUUUUUUAUUUCUUUUAAAAAAUAAACGGUCAAACGUUGGACACGGAAAUCCAUAAGUAUAAUUAUA